UGGUGACGCACUGGAACAGGUUGCCCAAGGAGGCUGUGGAUGCCCCAUCCCUGGAGGCAUUCAAGGCCAGGCUGGAUGUGGCUCUGGGCAGCCUGGUCUGGUGGUUGGCAACCCUGCACAUAGCAGGGGGUUGGAAAUCGAUGAUCAUUGUGGUCCUUUUCAACCCAGGCCAUUCUAUGAUUCAAUGAUUUAUCAUGUUUAAAUAUUAAAAAAUGAAUUAUAAUUGUUUGUGAUGGGGAGAAGGCACAGAGUCCAGGCUACAAGUUCAUGUGAUGAUAAUGUCAGUCUCCCUUGCUCCUGUCUUCUGGCAAAGUUUCAUCCCAGAUUCCUGUUAGUUAAAGACUGUUAAAUUUCAAUUAGCAUUGAAACGACAUUUUAGAUUGAGUGCUUCUUAAAAGGUAUUUUCUCUAUUGUUUUAUAUCACAGAAUACUCCUUAAAACAGCACCUCGUUGUCACUCCACAGUGUUUUUUUAACCUGGAAUGUACUUUUUUGUUGGUCUGCUUUUUGGCUUUGAGUCAUUCUCAAAAUACAUUUCACACUCCCUUUCAACCACGGCCUUGUGGCAACCAAGGCUUUGCCACCCGAACUGCUGAACUUCAAAGGUUAAGAAAACAAAACACUCCAGAACAUAAACAUCCUUAUGUCGUGAUACAUACCUAACAUACCGUUUUCAUCAACGCUUCAGCGCAGCUCUCAGAGCUCAAAAAUUGUGUCUGUUUUAUAUGUGGUUCUUCACUGCUGUAUUUUCACAUCUUUUAAACCAUUACGUGUCCCUGCACAUGCAUAUUAAUAGGGAAGACCGUCUUACUGGAUGUUGCUGAUUUAUCAGUCGCCACCAGACUUUGAUUAAAUCUGUAUACUUUUUGAUUAACUCCAUAAACUUCUUUGUCUUUCUUCUUACAAUGAAGCUGAUUGCACAACGGUUGAAUUGGACGGAAUGAUUUUAACCAGGUCGGAAUCAUUAAUGGCCUCAAGUUGUGCCAGGAGAGAUUCAGAUUGCACUUUAGGAAAAAAUUCUUCUCUGAGAGAGUGGACAGGUGCUGCAAUGGGCUGCCCAGGGAGGUGGUGGAGUCGCCGUCCCAGGAGGUGUUCAAGAAGUGUUUCAGUGUUGUACUGACAGACAUGGUUUAGUGGGAAAUACUGGAGGUAGACGGAUGGUUGGACUGGAUGGUCUUGGAGGUCUUUUCCAACCCUGGUGAUUCCAUGAUUCUAUGAUCCCUCCAUGGGACUCCCUGUUCAUUUAAGCAAAUAUAAAUCUAAUUCUGCACGCAGUACCUCAAAGCACAGUGAGCCUCCAGAUAAUGGCUGAGACUUCUUAGCUUGCGCUAAUCUGAGAGAAUCAUUGAAGUUGCUUUAGUUUACUUUUCUUGCCCUGCAUGGAUCUCAGACUGUCAGCCACAAAGGGCCGCAGAAUUCCCAGCUUUCCACCAUAGAGGCUUGAAAGCUUUUUCUAGUAUCUCCAAUACAGCAGCCCCCAGUUUUAACAAAUUCCAUCUUUCAGAACGAGGGGCAACAACAACUAUUCAGUCACUGGAAGCCGCCCGGCCAACUCUCAGUGUAACAACAUCUGGAUUUGCAAACAAAGAAGAAAGAGGGAGGACUGCUGUGCAGAGAGAUGGCAGAUAACUUCGUUAGUCCCCUGAAGUGCACAACAGACACCAACACAGCAUUUUUCUCAUACUGAUCCCCAGUACUCACUGUCAAAUUUCCUUCCAGGUCACUGUUGGGACAGCAGAUGUUCUCCCAGUGUGUUGUUCUCCUCACAUCGUGCAGUUGGGGUUGCCAAUUUAUUCAGGUUCCAGCGUACAAAUAGGACUUAACUCAAUGAAGCAAUUGUUCAUCCCAAAACAAAAUGAUGAAUGAUGAUUCCACAAGCUUCCCUUGAAUUCCUGCUUCAGGGAAGCCAAAAUGUGAGCAGAUGAGCAGAAGACCUGGUGGCCCCAGGGACCAGGUGGGAUGGAGCCCUGGGCAGCCUGGUCUAGCGCUUGAUCUAAUGGUUGGCAGCCCUGCCUGUGGCAGGGGGUUGGAACGUGGUGAUCUUUGGGGUCUCUUCCAACCCAAGCCAUUCUAUGAUAAGCUAACUUGCAUGAAUGACAGCAACACACAGAUUCUGUUCUUUGUUAGAUAGGAUUUCUUCUGAGACACACAGAACAAUUUUGUCAUGGUUGUAAUGAAAAGGAAAAAUGAAAUGCACUGAUAAAAGCUGGUAUCUCUCAGCUGAAUAUCUUGAGCGAUUGAAACUCAGCAUGUGAUGUAGGAUACAGUAACUUUGGGAAAGGAGAUGAGAUGACAGAUGGUCUGUUUCAAAACAAGUGCAGUCCUUACUAUCAUUGUGCUGUUUGGAACUGGACAGGAAGGUUUCCAGUCCUCACAAGGUCAGGGAGCCAGUGGUUAGUCCGUCUGCUGUCUGUAGUGUCAUGACAACUCUUUCAAGCAUGUCGUCCUUUCUGUAGCUGUACAUCACUGUUCACAUUUUGCACAUUUUUCACAUUCUCUGAAGCUUGACUACCUUAAAAUCUGCAGUAAAUGACUGGUUGGAAGAAUGAUUACCAGUAGUGUGCUUGCGUGUCAGGUUUGUGCAGACCCAAGCAGCCUGGAAGCGGGCUUCAAUUCCAAAGGUUUAAUUACAUCUUCAGUUAGAAGUAACUUCUCUGGCCAUCUUCUGUGUCUAUGAUGGUAUCCAUGAUGAUGUCCACUUUGAUGAUCCAUGAUAACUUAUGGUAGAAUAUGUAGCCUAGCUCAUGUAUUUAAUAUAGCAGAACUUCACCAAAGGCCUCUCUCUGUGAAGGAAGCCCUUUCCAAGCAAUAAGAUGAGCAUUACUAAGCAAAUUAUGUUGUGAUUAGAGAUUAUACUUUUUACUUAGAACAAAAACGAAUGUUCUCUUUUAAGAUUUCUGUAAACACUUGCAGCUGACGUUUAAGUUCCCAGCCUUCUCUUGGAUAAGUUAACUAGGCUGAAGGGUUCUCAUUAGCCCUACUUUUGGCUGCAGACAUUUUGUGACCACUUCAAGACCUCUCCAAAUUUUUAAUGCUAGGAGAAUACUGGACAUGAGAACUGGGUGUAUUUUAAAAGUCAUCUUUCUAGUACCGUAUGCAGAAGUCAUAUCAAUGUCUUUAUACAUGUAUGUCUUGUCAGCCAACAUGUGUUCAAAUCUUGCUUAUUUAUGGGGAUUGUUAAGUCCUCCCUGGGGACAGCUUCCUAUACACCCAGCUGUGCAGGUUUUCCUAAAUUGCUCUUUUUGACCAAAAUCACUUGCUUGGAAGAAGCUGAGGAUAAAUAAUAAAUAAAUAGCUUUUAAAAAUACCAACAACUGUAUCCGUAUUUAAGUCUACAGUAACUCCUCUUCCUUUCAUCUGUUUUGUAGAGCCCCUGUUCAGAGUUUAAGGUCAACUUUAUAGAGAAUGAACCUGGCAAGCUUUGAUCUGAAAACUGGAGGCUCAUGGAAGCUGGAAGCAACUCAGAAUAAGAUGGAGCUGAGGAGCUGUACCCAUGGCAGAACUACUGAGAAGCUCGCUUUGUUUUGGUAAUCACCCACAAAAAAAACUUCAAUCUAAAUUGCAAUGAAACUGAAAAUGUAAUUUGAGCAAAUCCACAUCUAGGAAGUUUCUCUAGCCUAUGAGCUGAUGCAACAGCUACAUUCUUUAAAACCUUUGUCAAGCAAAUACAAUCUGGAAGACUACAAGGUAAAACUAUUUUUCCAAGUUUCAAUAAUUGUUUUGGACUUUGUCAUGAGUAAGGGAAGGAAGAG
ensembl:lncRNA